rnacentral:rRNA from 1 species
UACGUAGGGUGCAAGCGUUGUCCGGAAUUAUUGGGCGUAAAGAGCUCGUAGGCGGUCUGUCGCGUCGGAUGUGAAAAUCCAGGGCUUAACCCUGGGCCUGCAUUCGAUACGGGCAGACUAGAGUUCGGUAGGGGAGACUGGAAUUCCUGGUGUAGCGGUGAAAUGCGCAGAUAUCAGGAGGAACACCGGUGGCGAAGGCGGGUCUCUAGGCCGACACUGACGCUGAGGUGCGAAAGCGUGGGGAGCAAACAGG